CCUACGGGGGGCAGCAGUGGGGAAUAUUGGGCAAUGGGCGCAAGCCUGACCCAGCAACGCCGCGUGAAGGAAGAAGGCUUUCGGGUUGUAAACUUCUUUUCUCAGGGACGAAGAAAGUGACGGUACCUGCGGAAUAAGCCACGGCUAACUACGUGCAAGCAGCCGCGGUAAUACGUAGGUGGCAAGGUUUAUCCGGAUUUACUGGGUGUAAAGGGCGUGUAGGCGGGACGGCAAGUCAGAUGGGAAAACCACGGGCUCAACCUGUGGCCAGCAUUUGAAACUGUAGUUCUUGAGUACUGGAGAGGCAGACGGAAUGCCUAGUGUAGCGGUGAAAUGCGUAGAUAUUAGGAAGAACACCGGUGGCGAAGGCAGUCUGCUGGACGGCAACUGACGCUGAGGCGCGAAAGCGUGGGUAGCAAACAGGAUUAGAUACCCCUGUAGUC
rnacentral:rRNA from 1 species